rnacentral:rRNA from 1 species
UAGGGAAUCUUACGCAAUGGACGAAAGUCUGACGGAGCAAUGCCGCGUGAGUGAUGAAGGUUUUAGGAUCGUAAAACUAUGUUAUUAGGGAAGAAGAAAUGCGUAAGUAACUGUGCGCAUCUUGACGGUACCUAAUCAGAAAGCCACGGCUAACUACGUGCCAGCAGCCGCGGUAAUACGUAGGUGGCAAGCGUUAUCCGGAAUUAUUGGGCGUAAAGCGCGCGUAGGCGGUUUCUUAAGUCUGAUGUGAAAGCCCACGGCUCAACCGUGGAGGGUCAUUGGAAACUGGGAAACUUGAGUACAGAAGAGGAAAGUGGAAUUCCAUGUGUAGCGGUGAAAUGCGCAGAGAUAUGGAGGAACACCAGUGGCGAAGGCGACUUUCUGGUCUGUAACUGACGCUGAUGUGCGAAAGCGUGGGGAUCAAACA